ACAGCCACAUCAUAUUGAAACACAGGUUCCCGUAUGAUCACUGAAGUUAAGCAACAUCAAGCCUGGUCAGUACUUAGAUGGGUGACUGUUUGUGAAUACCAGAUGCUGUAAG